rnacentral:sRNA from 1 species
AGCGCCGCCAUUUUGGAGCUCCGGAUGAGGAGGGGGAAAGCGGGGGAAAAGAGGGAAAAGAGCCGGGAGAGAGGUGGGCAAGGACAAGGGCGAGGGCACGGCCGGGUCCUGGCUGGCCAAACGAGGCUCGCGGAAGCAGCAGCCGCCGCCUGACCGCAGCUGGAUUUUGAAGAUUGAUCCAAGGGACUGUAUUAAUUUCAGGAAUUGAUUUGAAAGACACUGGCUCUGCCACUUAACAGCCAUGUAACCUUGGAUAUGGAAGAAAGUAGCAGUGUUGCCAUGUUGCUGCCAGAUAUUGGGGAACAGGAAGCUAUAUUGACUGCUGAAAGUAUCAUCAGUCCUUCAUUGGAAAUUGAUGAACAAAGAAAAACUAAACCAGAUCCAUUAAUCCAUGUUAUCCAGAAGUUAAGCAAGAUAGUGGAAAAUGAAAAGUCACAAAAAUGUCUUUUAAUUGGGAAGAAACGCCCACAUUCAAGUGCUGCAACACACUCUCUUGAAACCCAAGAACUUUGUGAGAUUCCAGCUAAAGUAACCCAGUCACCUGCUGCUGAUACUAGAAGGGCUGAGAUGUCACAAACAAAUUUUACCCCUGACACUCUUGCCCAGAAUGAAGGGAAGGCUAUGUCUUAUCAGUGUAGCCUUUGUAAGUUUCUAUCAUCAUCCUUUUCCGUGUUAAAAGAUCAUAUUAAGCAGCAUGGUCAGCAAAAUGAAGUGAUACUAAUGUGCUCAGAGUGCCAUAUUACAUCUAGAAGCCAGGAGGAACUUGAAGCCCACGUGGUGAAUGACCAUGACAACGAUGCCAAUAUCCACACCCAAUCCAAAGCCCAACAGUGCGUAAGCCCCUCCAGCUCUUUGUGUCGGAAAACCACAGAAAGAAAUGAAACAGUUCCAGAUAUCCCAGUAAGUGUGGACAAUCUACAGACUCAUACUGUCCAAACUGCAUCUGUGGCAGAAAUGGGUAGGAGGAAAUGGUAUGCAUACGAACAGUACGGCAUGUAUCGAUGCUUGUUUUGUAGUUAUACUUGUGGCCAGCAGAGAAUGUUGAAAACACACGCUUGGAAACAUGCUGGGGAGGUUGAUUGCUCCUAUCCAAUCUUUGAAAAUGAAAAUGAGCCCCUAGGCCUGCUGGAUUCUUCAGCAGCUGCUGCGCCUGGUGGGGUCGAUGCAGUGGUCAUUGCUAUUGGAGACAGUGAACUGAGUAUUCACAAUGGGCCAUCAGUGCAAGUGCAGAUUUGCAGCUCAGAACAGUUAUCAUCUUCAUCUCCUUUAGAACAGAGUGCAGAAAGAGGAGUACACCUAAGUCAGUCAGUUACCCUGGACCCCAAUGAGGAAGAAAUGCUAGAAGUGAUUUCUGAUGCAGAGGAGAAUCUGAUUCCUGAUAGCCUGCUUACAUCAGCACAGAAAAUCAUCAGCAGCAGCCCCAGUAAAAAAGGGCAUGUUAACGUGAUAGUGGAGCGAUUGCCAAGUGCUGAAGAAACCCUUUCACAGAAGCGCUUCCUCAUGAACACUGAAAUGGAAGAAGGGAAGGACCUGAGCCCAACAGAAGCUCAGAUUGGGCGUGAAGGAACGGAUGAUGUUUAUCGUGCUGAUAAAUGUACUGUUGAUAUUGGGGGAUUGAUCAUAGGCUGGAGCAGUUCAGAGAAGAAAGACGAGUUAAUGAAUAAAGGCCUGGCUACUGAUGAGAAUGCCCCACCAGGCCGGAGAAGGACAAAUUCUGAAUCUCUUCGAUUACACUCAUUAGCUGCAGAAGCCCUUGUCACAAUGCCUAUAAGAGCUGCAGAGUUGACAAGAGCCAACCUGGGGCACUAUGGAGAUAUAAACCUUUUAGGUCCAGAUACUAGUCAAAGGCAAGUAGAUAGUACAUUGGCAGCAUACUCAAAAAUGAUGUCGCCACUUAAAAACUCUUCAGAUGGAUUAACUAGUCUUAACCAAAGCAACUCCACCUUGGUAGCACUCCCAGAGGGUAGGCAGGAAUUGUCAGAUGGGCAGGUUAAGACAGGCAUCAGCAUGUCUUUACUCACCGUCAUUGAAAAAUUGAGAGAAAGGACAGACCAAAACGCUUCAGACGAUGACAUUUUGAAAGAGUUGCAGGACAACGCCCAGUGCCAACCCAACAGCGAUACAAGUUUGUCUGGAAACAAUGUGGUGGAAUACAUCCCAAAUGCUGAACGACCCUACCGUUGCCGCCUGUGUCACUACACAAGUGGCAACAAGGGCUACAUCAAGCAGCACUUACGAGUCCAUCGACAGAGACAGCCUUAUCAGUGUCCUAUCUGCGAGCACAUAGCGGACAACAGCAAAGAUUUGGAGAGUCACAUGAUCCACCACUGUAAGACAAGAAUAUACCAGUGCAAGCAGUGUGAAGAAUCCUUCCAUUAUAAGAGUCAAUUGAGGAACCAUGAGAGAGAACAGCACAGUCUUCCAGAUACCUUGUCAAUAGGAACUUCUAAUGAGCCAAGAAUUUCCAGUGAUACAGCUGAUGGAAAAUGUGUCCAGGAAGGUAUCUAUAUGUUUUGUUAUGCAGGCUGCAGUGACUCGCACAUGACAUAAAAGUGCCCUUAAUUGUCUUGGUUGGUUAUUUUCAGGGCAAAAGCCUAUAUUCUCCUCCAUUUUUGUACCAUGGAUGUGAGUGAAUCUGAUCUCACUGUUUCUGAGGAAAUGCCAAGUACUGGAUGAAGCAGGUGAUUACUAGGUCCUAGGUGAGAAGCCCUAGAUAGUAAGGAUUCAUCUUCAGUUGAAACUUAAGAGCCCCUUAGAAGGUGAUGUACCAGCAAGCCAGAAAAGCUACAACAUGGAAAACAGGCCUCCCCUCCCUCUCGGCACCAGUUGACCUACUGAGAACAGAGCUUUUGCAGAUGGUAGGCCCCCACCCCAAACUUUAACUGGGGCUUCCCGCUGUGAUCUUAUUCUUACACAAGUAUGACUGCCAGAUUUCAUCUGCAUUAUUAAAAAAAAAAAAACACACACAGACACACAAGAUCUUUUUAUGUACUAGUUAGGUAGCAGUCAACCAAGUUUCUGGUAAUAGGAAUAUUAGAAUCAAAAGAUUUAAUUAGAGCUCCAUGAAAAGGAGGAUGCCACAUUCGGAGAAUUAAGGAUAAAGUGUACUAAGCUGUGCCGCUUUGGUUCAGCUCACUUAAAUUGAUAUACUUUAAAUGUCUCCAGUGUGGCGCAUAAUGUUUAUGGGAGAUAAAACAUAUUGGGGUGACUUUCCUUUUUAGAUUUGCUAAGAAUUAAAGUUAGAAACGACUACAGAGUGAAAUGUUUUACCAUAAUGUUUCAUUAAAUUAUACCCUAGAAAGCAUAACUGAUUCUAGAAUGCUUCUGAAAGAACUGAUUUUGACACCACUGUAGCACCAAAAUUCUCAUGUCAAACAGAUGUCAUCCCUGUAAAACUCUCUGAAACAAAAGGAGUUUAUGACAUAACAUCUGUUUCUGCAGUAGAUGGCUGAGCUAAAACAGUUUUGUUUCCUUUUUACAAAAUAGCCCUAAAUGCCUCCUUUUAUUUUAAUUCAUUAUGUUUCCAUAUCCCCUUUAAAGGAGACAUUAAAACGUCUGAUAUGAUUGGACCAUAAAUCCCUAAUGAAGGGAUGAAGUAAAUACUACUCAGUAGCACCACCUGCAGUUAAUAUCAGUGUUGGAAGAUGUCUUUUUUAGCACCGUCCUGAAAAGCAAACAUUUCAAACUGUCCAAAUGAGUUAACAUUAAAAUUCACAAUUUUAAUAAAAAGAUUAAAGUGUCAGCUCAAAAUUAAAAUAACCACUUCAGACUUUACAGUAUUAAUGUAUGUUUACUAGAUUUUAUGUUGCAGCAUCUUUUCUUUGUGGCUCAUGCCUUUUUUUAGGGUUACAUGUAUGGAUUUUUAAAUUGCCUGCCAUGCCUCUUUUCCCCCAUCUGGCUCCAUUUGCUUUUUUCUCUCAGCACUGUAGCAGUUCAGAUGGCUGCAUACUUAUACCUGGAUGGGUACUUUAUUAACUCAAUAUUAGAUAUUUUGAAAUCUGGUUGUCAGGCCAAAGAAAAAAAUUUUAGCUCACAAAUAAGGUAAUAAUAAUUCAUGCUUUGUUAAAACUUCUUUACCUAUUUAGUAAACUUGUUAAACAAGAAGAGAGAUGUGUGCCUCUGUGAUCCCCAGUCUCUGCCAUUCUGAUAGCACAGAUACCUUAGGGCAUGUUUCAGCUUAACAUUUGCUUGGCCAAAAGGCAUGGCCUGCCUGUCUUAAGCUAGAUACUGUGCUAGGUGCUGGGAGUACAGUGAAAGGCAUCACUGCCCUUCAGGAAUCCAACUUAGUGAAGAAGACAGAACGAGGCUGAUGGGUAUGUCAGCAGAUACCGCAGGAGCUCAAAUAGAGCCGCAAGCAAAGCCCUUUCGUAUGGUGUUACUCCAUGAAACCUAAUUAAAUUGUUUUUUUAUUGGAAACCUAUAAUUUGCCAAGCCCUGGGGAUUCAGUCUAAACAAAACAAGCAGAUCCUUAUCCUCAGGGAAUAGACAGCUUAGUGACAGGGCAGAGAUUUUACCCAGACAUGCAGGUAAAGUACAGACUUUGCUAAAGGAAAAAUAUAGGACUUAUUAAACUAUGCUGUUAGAGGAGAAAACUGAGACUUCAAGAGGCAAAAUAAUUUACCCAUGAUCGUACUGGUAGAAAGUGGCAGAGCGAGGACUAAGCCCAAGUUUUUGAACUUUAAAUCCAAUAUUCUUUCCAUUGGAAACAGUUGCUUGAAGUAGCACAGGCUCUCAUUCUGUGCUAUAUUAAGUUUUUCCAUCUGUCAGUUUUAUUAGUUGUCAUUGAUCUGUAAUAUUUCUCACACAAAACCAUUAUCCAAUAUUUCACACUUCAUUUUUUAGGGUUUUUUUAAAACUGUAUUUGGAACAGUGCCAUUUAUAAUCAAGUCCAAGUUUUUAACCUACCAAUUAAGAGCAAUACUUAGAUUAUAAUUAUGAUUAGUGUGUAUAUUAAUGUUAUAGAUUUAUACCAGGAAAUUAGGACAUUUUGUUCUGCCUGGCAGUAGUUAUUAGCAAAAGAAAAUUUCAAUUUUAGAAACCGUAAAUUUAACUUAAGGAUUUUCUUUGUUGAAAUUUCAGUGUGGGUUUUCCUUUGUAUAAUACCACAGAUUUUACUUUUAUGCAGUGUAUGCAGGUGUUCUACCUAAGCUUUCUUCCUGCCAAGAGACACACAGUUCUUCCUGCUCUGCCUUUUUCAUGAGCUUCCAUGCUUGCUUUGUUUCUGAAUAUAAAGCAGAGUGUGAAUAGCCUGUGGACUGUAUGCUGACAGACAAGUGCAUGAAGCAUUGAAUAUCUUCAAGAAAUCGUUUUAUAUGAUCAAGUCACUCAACUCGUGUUGACAUAAGCUUACCCCAACUUGAAUUACUCAGCCCUGUUGUUGCAGAGUGAGUUUAGUAACAUGGCUUCUUUUCGUUGGAUCCAUGUUUCCUGCAUUUCAGAGAGCUGCAUAUUCAUGUCAGUCAUAACUUUUGUCCUUGUAACCUGUCAGUUAACUAGAAAGAAUUAUACCUUGCGUAGCACUU